CGAUUUUUAUCACUAAAAUCACAAAUACCCGCGUCCACCUCCCGCGUCCAAAGUUCAAAACCUAAUUCCCCCAAAAUCCCCGUUUCAUCCCCAAAUUCCCCAAUCACCAGAAACACAAUCCCCCCUUGUUCUACCCUAAAUUCACGGUUGCGCCGCUAUCAUUCUCCACUGCUGUCAUUCCUCCGUCACGGUUACCCCCUUCUUCUUCUUCCGUGAACCUCCUUCUCUUCUCUCCUUCACUCACUCCUUCUGUUCACCCACUCUCCACCACCGUCCUCCUCCGGCGACGCCGUUUCAGCUGCCACGCUGCUUCCCCCGGCCUACCUCCAGCUCCCCGGACUGAUCCUCCUCCUGGAAACGAUUACAGCAUGCUUCGUUUUUAAUGCUUCAUUUUUUAUUCCUCCAUCAUUCGAGAAAGCUCUGACCCCUCCAUUAGGAAGACUACAAAAGGAUGCUCAUUACUUCCUCAGGUAUCAGCUUCUAUGCACUCUCAGUACCUUUGGGCCAGAGGGGGGUCACUGGAGAACCUAGCAGAAAGGGACCACCACUAUUUUGCACUGCAACACUCUCAUAGUUAGGUCACUGUCUCAGAUACCACCUUAGGUCCUUAGCUUAUGGCUUCACUUAUAUGAUUUUUGAUUCUCUCU